UUAUUAUUAUAUUUUAUUUUUUAAUUAUUAUUAUAAGACAAAGAAUUGAUAAAAAAUAUUUUUUAAUGCACAUUGAGGUGAAUAAUAAUAUUAUUAUUAUUAUUUUAAUAAUGAUCCUUCCGCAGGUUCACCUACGGAAA
rnacentral:misc_RNA from 1 species